rnacentral:rRNA from 1 species
CCUAACACAUGCAAGUCGAACGGUAACAGGAAGCAGCUUGCUUCUUUGCUGACGAGUGGCGGACGGGUGAGUAAUGUCCGGGAAACUGCCUGAUGGAGGGGGAUAACUACUGGAAACGGUAGCUAAUACCGCAUAACGUCGCAAGACCAAAGAGGGGGACCUUCGGGCCUCUUGCCAUCAGAUGUGCCCAGAUGGGAUUAGCUAGUAGGUGGGGUAACGGCUCACCUAGGCGACGAUCCCUAGCUGGUCUGAGAGGAUGACCAGCCACACUGGAACUGAGACACGGUCCAGACUCCUACGGGA